AGCGAACGUUAGCGGCGGGCCUAACACAUGCAAGUCGAACGCGAAAGGUCUUCGGACUGAGUAGAGUGGCGCACGGGUGAGUAACACGUAGGUAAUCUACCCUUUGGCGGGGGAUAACGUUCCGAAAGGAGCGCUAAUACCGCAUAAGACCACGGAGUCUCCGGACGCUGUGGGAAAAGGUGGCCUCUUCUUGAAAGCUAUCACCGAAGGAUGAGCCUGCGUCCCAUCAGCUAGUUGGUAAGGUAAUGGCUUACCAAGGCGAAGACGGGUAGCUGGUUUGAGAGAAUGAUCAGCCACACUGGCACUGGAACACGGGCCAGACUCCUACGGGAGGCAGCAGUGAGGAAUAUUGGGCAAUGGGCGAAAGCCUGACCCAGCCACGCCGCGUGAGUGAUGAAGGCCCUCGGGUCGUAAAGCUCUGUGGAGAGGGACGAAAACCCUGGUUUCAAAUAGGCUCCAGGCUUGACGGUACCUCUUUAGCAAGCACCGGCUAACUCUGUGCCAGCAG
rnacentral:rRNA from 1 species